UGGUAGCUUGACGCAGCCUUGAUGGCCAAUC
rnacentral:piRNA from 1 species